rnacentral:rRNA from 1 species
CCUCCCUAUACGUACGUCCGUGGAAAAAACGACGCGGCAGCGGCAGCGGUAAUGUCCGGCCACCGGCAUGGGGCGUCGAGGCAGCUACAUCCAUCGGUAUCGAAUCGAAGCGUUGCCAACCCAACCAGAGUUUCAGGGUGCAGCCGGGGCGAAUAAAUAUGGAGGGGCCGACCGUCCGCAGACUAAGUGAAGUGGUAGGUUUCGUAGGCCGGGCCGGCGGGGGCGGGAGUAUAUAUGCGUCGACUCGACUUGACUCGCGGCGACUCGAGGGGCGGGCGCGCGCGCGUAACGUGCCGAACUAGAUAGGAGGCGGCGGGGGCCGGCGGGCUGGUGUGGCUGAACCGUCUUCGUCAGGUCGGUCCGGCCCCUAGCUAGAGAGCACAUAGAAACCCCGACCCUGCCUUCCGCCGGGCCGGUUCUCCAGCUCCUCGGUGGCACGGCCUCGCUCGACGGUGGCCGGCGCACUCCGCAGCAGCUAGCUGGUCCGUAAAGCUAUAAGAACCUUAAAUCGACGCGCACGUACCUCUCUAACGACAGCGACGACGGCUAGCUAGCUAGUGAGGAGGCUAAUUGGAUCAGACUGAACCGGACGACGCCUAAAGAAUGACAAGAAAGGGGAGAGGAUCGACGAGGUCCAAGAACUAGAAGAAGGUUCUCGUCUCAUCGAACAUGCAUCAUCUUAAGACACACCCGAUCUGUUCUCUUCUCUUAAGCUUGUACCACGACCGCGUGUGCAGGUUCCACCACGACCCUACGCACCGCAAGCCGUAGAAGACCCACGACCGGCAGAAGGGGUCGCACGGGAAGUACGGGCAGCCGGCGUGGCGGCCGAGGGACGACCCGCGGUACGAGUACCACGAGAAGGCCCAGUAGAGGGGGCUCCUGCGCAUGCGCCGGUAGCUGGAGGGGUAGUAGCCGGAGGAGAAGCCGUGGUACCAGCAGAGGUAGAAGGACCUCGCGCGGCUGUACAAGUUCAUGGAGCCGUUGGACGAGGUCACCUUCUCGGCGCCGGGGUUCCUGGACGAGAAGGCGCAGACGUAGCAGAGGCGGUAGCGGAGGCGCGAGAAGUGGUUGCUGUGGACGACGCAGCAGGAGUGGCUCAAGUAGGAGUUCCAGCGCGCGGUCUUGUUGGAGGGCGGGGUCGGGAAGGAGGAGCGCGAGCGGUGGUCGAGGUUGUAGCCGAGGCGGCGGUGCGGGUAGCCGUUGGGCGUCUUGGAGCAGUAGCGGCAGCUCUCGCCGUAGAGGAAGCCGGUCAAGGAGGAGCCGCAGAAGGGGCGGUACUAGCAGCCGCACGAGUGGUUGCGGCGGUAGGAGGAGACGAUGAAGACCUCCAUGGAGUUGCAGCUCGGCCGGCUGGUCCUCGCGCCGCCGCAACAGAGGUGCCCCGGGCUCCAGCAGCCGCUGCUGCUCCAGUGGAGCGUGGCGAAGUGCGGGCGGUCCUACAGCGUGCAGAGGAGCUAGUUGGGCCUGCUGAAGCUGACGCAGUCGCUCGGGUAGUAGGCCUCGCGGUCGCAGUUGCCGCUGGUGGACGCGUCGUCCUCGCAGUUGAGGUUGCGGUUGCGGCGGCUGCGGCUGUACGUCAAGAGGUAGUCCAGGGAGGCGAGGAGGUCGUACAGCGUGCUCUACCACCUCCAGAGGUGCGAGGGGCAGGAGUAGCUGCCGCGGAGGAGGUCCUUCAAGUGGUCCUGGCGGUCGGUCGUCUCCUCGCAGUAGUAGCUCCUGCGCGGCGGCAGCAGCGGGUGUCUGCUGCUCCGGCGGCGGUUGGUCUUGCCGCUGUUCCUGUUCCCCCUCGACGGGCUCCAGCACCUCUUCUCCACCUUCCACGACCACACCUUCUGCCGGCACAUGGAGUAGUGGGAGCCGUACGAGUAGCGGGAGGAGUACCCGGAGUUGUACAGGACCUGGCGGUAGUGGCGGCGAGAGCAGGAGGAGCGCGAGCUAAAGUGGCUGCGUGUCCGGACGGAGCUCUUCCAAAGGAUGAGCGACGAGUAGAAGAAGACGCCGUACAAGUAGUGCCACCUGCCCAAGUUGUUCUGGCCGUAUGGGUUGUGCUACACCCUCGACCACCUCGGGAUGAGCGCCUAGCUGUCGCGGUCUCCGCAGCGCGAGGAGCCUGAGCAGUAGGAGUAGGAGAGGUUGCAGCGUAGGUUACAAGGUUGUCAAGACGACGACCCCUGCUCCCACCGGCGCAGCCGACGGCGUUAGAGCGGCCGCAGCCUCUCCUUCCGCACCGACUAUGACCGGAUGCACUCGUGCCACCGGCCCUUGGACUGCGACGACCCCAGCCGCCGCUUGGACUAGCACACGCUCGUCCGGUCCGCGCGCGUCAAGAAGCCGAUGUUGGAGAGGAAGACCUCGGUGGAGGCCAAGCCCCAUGGCAGGUGGUAGCAGCAGUGGCGGUAGCCGGAGGAGUAGCAGUCGUCGAUGACUUAACUUGGUUCGUUCUUUGACUUGUAUCAUCAUGAUGGCACGUUCCUCGUAUCGCUUUAGGAAAGAAGAAGAAGUUAUUACCUCUGAUGAGUACAUUUUAGCUAUCCGAACAGUACAUUGGGCUAACACGAAACACAUAGCGGUCAUUAAAGUCACAACAGUAGGAGACAACAGCGAUUUCGUCUGCCGGCCGGUCAUGCCCACCGUCUGGUUCGUCAUUGGGACGCAAAAAGUCUAAAGAGUUGAACCUCAACGUCUAUCCAAGAACAACUAGAUUCUUCAAUGAAUAUAACAUUAGACUAAAGUAAAAACCACAAAGUCUCACUUAGUUGCACCGGACAUUAGCACGGCAUGAACGUAUCAAAAACAAAAUAUUGUCGUAUAUGUAAACG